GAUGAACGCUGGCGGCGUGCCUAAUACAUGCAAGUCGAGCGAACAGACGAGGAGCUUGCUCCUCUGACGUUAGCGGCGGACGGGUGAGUAACACGUGGAUAACCUACCUAUAAGACUGGGAUAACUUCGGGAAACCGGAGCUAAUACCGGAUAAUAUAUUGAACCGCAUGGUUCAAUAGUGAAAGACGGUUUUGCUGUCACUUAUAGAUGGAUCCGCGCCGCAUUAGCUAGUUGGUAAGGUAACGGCUUACCAAGGCAACGAUGCGUAGCCGACCUGAGAGGGUGAUCGGCCACACGGGAACUGAGACACGGUCCAGACUCCUACGGGAGGCAGCAGUAGGGAAUCUUCCGCAAUGGGCGAAAGCCUGACGGAGCAACGCCGCGUGAGUGAUGAAGGUCUUCGGAUCGUAAAACUCUGUUAUUAGGGAAGAACAAAUGUGUAAGUAACUAUGCACGUCUUGACGGUACCUAAUCGGAAAGCCACGGCUAACUACGUG
rnacentral:rRNA from 1 species